GACAGAGGGUGCGAACGUUGCUCGGAAUUACUGGGCGUAAAGCGCGUGUAGGCGGAUCUGCAAGUCAGGUGUGAAAGCCCUGGGCUCAACCCAGGAACGGCACUUGAAACUGCAGGUCUUGAGUGGUGGAGAGGGAAGUGGAAUUCCUGGUGUAGAGGUGAAAUUCGUAGAUAUCAGGAGGAACACCGGUGGCGAAGGCGGCUUCCUGGACACUAACUGACGCUGAGACGCGAAAGCGUGGGGAGCAAACAGG
rnacentral:misc_RNA from 1 species